UACGAAGGUCCCAAGCGUUAUCCGGAUUUAUUGGGUUUAAAGGGUGCGUAGGCGGGUUAUUAAGUCAGUGGUGAAAGCCUUCAGCUUAACUGAAGAAUUGCCAUUGAUACUGAUGAUCUUGAGUAUGAUUGAGGUGGGUGGAAUGUGUCAUGUAGCGGUGAAAUGCUUAGAUAUGACACAGAACACCGAUUGCGAAGGCAGCUCACUAAGCCAUAACUGACGCUGAUGCACGAAAGCGUGGGGAGCAAACAGG
rnacentral:rRNA from 1 species